UUUUCAAGUCUACAAGUUUGUAUUUACAUCAAGUAGCAUGGAAAUCAAAUAGUUAUCAAAAGACAUUUGGUUUCAACUCCGAAUGAAGUUCAAAGUUCAUAUAUAGUUGACUUAACAGGUCAUACAAAGUAAUUAUGACCUGGGGGUCACCAGUUGAAUAAAGUGAUAAACAAUGGGCAUACAGUUAAAAAAAAACAAUUCAUGCAACAAUCAGACCUGCA